CCUACGGGUGGCAGCAGUGAGGAAUAUUGGUCAAUGGGCGGAAGCCUGAACCAGCCAAGUCGCGUGAGGGAUUAAGGCCCUGCGGGUCGUAAACCUCUUUUGCCGGGGAGCAGAGGUCCGGACGUGUCCGGGCCGGGAGAGUACCCGGAGAAAAAGCAUCGGCUAACUACGUGCCAGCAGCCGCGGUAAUACGUAGGGGGCAAGCGUUGUUCGGGAUGACUGGGCGUAAAGGGUGUGUAGGUGGUUUGAUAAGUUAGAUGUGUAAUACCCAGGGCUUAACUCGGGUGCUGCAUCUAAAACUGGUAGACUUGAGUACUGGAGAGGAUAGUGGAAUUCCUAGUGUAGCGGUGGAAUGCGUAGAUAUUAGGAGGAACAUCAGUGGCGAAGGCGACUAUCUGGACAGCAACUGACACUGAGGCACGAAAGCGUGGGGAGCAAACAGGAUUAGAUACCCCAGUAGUC
rnacentral:rRNA from 1 species